rnacentral:lncRNA from 1 species
AGUGAGAGCCUGCGCUGUGCGGGGGAGAGUGUCGCGCCGGCCGCCGUCCCAGGACUUUUAUUUCAAAUGUGACCUGUGUAGCAACCGCAGUUCCCAAACCCGGGAAGAAGAGAGUAUAGAUGAGUCUUAAAAUCUAUGUUGACUGUUUUGUGUUUCCAGACACCCUUGCCUUCCUUUUUCUGGUCUACCAUUUAGAUUUAGAUCUUUCGUCUCCCUUGUUUCCCCAGCCUACGUAUCCUUUAAUAAAUUCCUGCAUUUUGAAAACGGAGAAUUUCAAAUGCGAUUAUCGUCAUUUUGCAGAUGAGAAAUAAAGGCUGGGAAAGAUUUAAAAAGAUUGAACAUCAAGGGAGAGUUCGGCUCCCAGGACCUUGACCUCGCUACAUGGGCAGAGAACGCCCAGGUGUUGUUGCAAUUGUUGUGCUGGACGAUGAGUGCCCGGGGGCGGGGGCGGGGGCGGGGGCUUGACGCAGGUCUUUGCAGCUCUAAAGCUCAGUUUACACCAUCUCUCAACAUUAAAAUAUUGUGUACUGGGGUUUAAUAAUAAAACUGUACAGAUGUGAUAAUAUACUAAAACUUUCACUUAACGGAAGAGGUGCCUUUAAAGAAAAAACCGCACAGGGGCAUCAUUUGGGCUAGUGAAGGCCCUUUUUCCUCCUUCUUUAUUAAGGUAUAAUUGACAAAAAUUGUGUUUACGGCGUACACAUGUUUUGAUUAUGUGUAUAUUGUGUCAAAUAUAUACAGCUUCUGAAAACAGAAUACUAUUGUUUCAUUCCUCCAUGCUUUUGCUCAAACUGGCCCUUCUGCCUGGAAUAAUCAGCCAUCUCCAUGCCGCCCCAUCAAUUCAGGUACUAUCUCCUUGAGGAAGUUCCCUCUUGAAAAGUGUCUUUUUUAGAUUCAGUGUGACCUGUACUUAUUCGUCUAUCCCUCAUGUUUGGCACACACAUUCUUUGUAAAGUAUCAUGACAGCGGUCACGUCAAAUGAAAAGAAAUGGGAUCUGUCCCUUGGUUGUCAGAGUCAGCCCUGUCUUUAGGAUGCCUUUACAGUGGUGUCUGAAACCAUGCCUAUAUACUUUAUGAAGUUAAUCUGGGAAAAAGGGGUGGGGGGAACGAAAUUAAACCAAGCUUGCAGCACACUGAGGAUUAAUAAUUAGGUCAGCUUGCUGUCUGACCCCUUCCUCAUAAUUGUUUGCCUAUUGCUUCAGAAUCAUGUAGACUCUGUUACAAGGUUAUAGUUUCCCCUAACUGCUCUAUAGACAACAACUUGAACAUUAUGAAACGUUAAGUUUGUGCUUUGAGAUAACCUUUCAGGUCCUUCGUACUGAUGAAACUACUGACUCAGCUGGUCUGACAAGGAGCUGACUCACCAAAGAAUGCAGUUCCCACAUCCUGAUGGUUUCAUUCCUCCUUACCCCAGCCAAUCGAGGACCCUAAUUUUCCAGCCCAUUGCCCUCCAGGAUCCCCUUAAAAGCCCCAGCACAGAACUCCUCAGAGAGAUGAAUUUGAGGGUUUCCUCCCAUCUCCUCUCGGCACCCUGCCAUCACUAAACUCUUUCUCUUCUGCAAACCCUGCUGUCUCAGUGUAUACUGUGCAGUGGGCAUAUGAAUCUGUUGGUCCUGUAGUGGAUGCUGUGGCACACCACCCAGAUCCCCCUCUUCAAGACCUAAGCAGGCAUUCCUCCAGCUGCUGAGUACUGCCAAAGAGAAGCACCUCUCCCCACGGGUAUACCCCCUUUCUAGGCAACAGCUAGUCAAGUAACUGGUUGAAACGGGUAUAAAAUCCCCUAAACCAAUGUAGGGCUACUUUGCUUGGCCAUCCCAGCUCCAGAGCUCCCCAUCCUAUUGGUUGUGUGAUGACUGCACUGCCACCCAACUUUUCUCUCUGCCCAAACCUGCCAUCCUCUAUCAGGUGAGCAUCAAUAGCACACACUAUCGGGCCACACUUACUAGGCUUGGCAUUUUAUUAGCAGUGGAUAAGUUACUUCUCUGUCUUAUCUGGUACUUCUGUGAAAUAAUAAUACCUACACCUCGAAGAGUUAUUUAUGAUGAUUACAUGAGAUAACGUAUGUAAAGCCCUUUGCACAGUCUCUGGCAUACAAGAUAUGAUCAGUAAAUGUCAGCAAUUAUUUCUGAUUUGGAAUUCUACCACAGUAUUACAUUUUCUAAAUCAGAGCAGGUGUAGGUGUAUGGAGGGGUCAGAUUAUUUUAAACCUUAAAGGCUUAGAGCUGGAAAAAAAUGCUGAUGCAGCAGCUCAACUCACUUAUUUCCCUACAAUGAAG